rnacentral:rRNA from 1 species
GACAGAGGGGGCAAGCGUUGCUCGGAAUUACUGGGCGUAAAGGGCGCGUAGGCGGGCUGGCAAGUCGGUCGUGAAAUCCCUCGGCUCAACCGAGGAACGUCGAUCGAUACUGCUGUUCUUGAGGAUUGCAGAGGAGACUGGAAUUCCCGGUGUAGCGGUGAAAUGUGUAGAGAUCGGGAGGAACACCGGUGGCGAAGGCGGGUCUCUGGGCAAUUCCUGACGCUGAGGCGCGAAAGCGUGGGGAGCGAACCGG